rnacentral:rRNA from 1 species
CAUGCCGCGUGUGUGAAGAAGGCCUUCGGGUUGUAAAGCACUUUCAGUCGUGAGGAAGGUAGUGUAGUUAAUAGCUGCAUUAUUUGACGUUAGCGACAGAAGAAGCACCGGCUAACUCCGUGCCAGCAGCCGCGGUAAUACGGAGGGUGCGAGCGUUAAUCGGAAUUACUGGGCGUAAAGCGCAUGCAGGUGGUUUGUUAAGUCAGAUGUGAAAGCCCGGGGCUCAACCUCGGAAUAGCAUUUGAAACUGGCAGACUAGAGUACUGUAGAGGGGGGUAGAAUUUCAGGUGUAGCGGUGAAAUGCGUAGAGAUCUGAAGGAAUACCGGUGGCGAAGGCGGCCCCCUGGACAGAUACUGACACUCAGAUGCGAAAGCGUGGGGAGCAAACAGGAUUAGAUACCCUGGUAGUCCACGCCGUAAACGAUGUCUACUUGGAGGUUGUGGCCUUGAGCCGUGGCUUUCGGAGCUAACGCGUUAAGUAGACCGCCUGGGGAGUACGGUCGCAAGAUUAAAACUCAAAUGAAUUGACGGGGGCCCGCACAAGCGGUGGAGCAUGUGGUUUAAUUCGAUGCAACGCGAAGAACCUUACCUACUCUUGACAUCCAGAGAACUUUCCAGAGAUGGAUUGGUGCCUUCGGGAACUCUGAGACAGGUGCUGCAUGGCUGUCGUCAGCUCGUGUUGUGAAAUGUUGGGUUAAGUCCCGCAACGAGCGCAACCCUUAUCCUUGUUUGCCAGCGAGUAAUGUCGGGAACUCCAGGGAGACUGCCGGUGAUAAACCGGAGGAAGGUGGGGACGACGUCAAGUCAUCAUGGCCCUUACGAGUAGGGCUACACACGUGCUACAAUGGCGCAUACAGAGGGCGGCCAACUUGCGAAAGUGAGCGAAUCCCAAAAAGUGCGUCGUAGUCCGGAUUGGAGUCUGCAACUCGACUCCAUGAAGUCGGAAUCGCUAGUAAUCGUGGAUCAGAAUGCCACGGUGAAUACGUUCCCGGGCCUUGUACCCC